rnacentral:rRNA from 1 species
UACGAAAGGAGCAAGUGUUAUUCAGAUUAACUGGGCGUAAAGGGCACGUAGGUGGUUUGUUUAUGUGUAUUAUUAAAUUAUAAAGCAUAACUUUAUAAUGUAGUAUAAACAGCAAAACUAGAGUUAGGUAGAGAGUAGUAGAAUUUCUAAUGUAAAGGUGAAAUGUGUAGAGAUCGGGAGGAACACCGGUGGCGAAGGCGGGUCUCUGGGCAAUUCCUGACGCUGAGGCGCGAAAGCGUGGGGAGCAAACGGG